rnacentral:rRNA from 1 species
UGCCAGCAGCCGCGGUAAUACGGAGGGGGUUAGCGUUGUUCGGAAUUACUGGGCGUAAAGCGCGCGUAGGCGGAUUAGUCAGUCAGAGGUGAAAUCCCAGGGCUCAACCCCGGAACUGCCUCUGAUACUGGUAGUCUUGAGUUCGAGAGAGGUGAGUGGAAUUCCCAGUGUAGAGGUGAAAUUCGUAGAUAUUGGGAAGAACACCAGUGGCGAAGGCGGCUAACUGGCUCGGUACUGACGCUGAGAUGCGAAAGCGUGGGGAGCAAACAGGAUUAGAUA